UACGUAGGCAGCGAGCGUUGUUCGGAGUUACUGGGCGUAAAGAGUGCGUAGGCGGUUUUCUAAGUUUGGUGUGAAAUCUCCCGGCUUAACUGGGAGGGUGCGCCGAAAACUGGAAGGCUUGAGUAUGGGAGAGGUAAGCGGAAUUCCUGGUGUAGCGGUGAAAUGCGUAGAUAUCGGAAGGAACAUCGGUGGCGAAAGCGGCCUUCUGGACAGGAACUGACACUGAGGCACGAAAGCGUGGGGAGCAAACAGG
rnacentral:rRNA from 1 species